rnacentral:misc_RNA from 1 species
GUGAAUCAUCAAAUUUUUGAACGCAAAUGGCACUCUCUGCGGAGGGUAUGCCUGUUUGAGGGUCAGCCUAAAAAAAAUCGACAUAGUUGCUGAUACGCGGUAACAUUCGUCGGAAAUUGGGUUAUCUUAAACCUUUGGGUUUAGGCGGCUUAAAGUUUUCUUUACGAUUCCGAGAACGUUUUUAAGGUUUUUUAUUCUUAUACGUGUAA